CCUUGUUUAUUCAUUGUUUUCAUUUAUUUAUUGUGCUCAACACUAGUUAUUAACUUGUGCGCACAUUUUUUAUUACAUCAUAAUGUGUUGGUUCUCAAUCUUGGGAAGCUUCAAUUCAAACCGGUUGCGUAUACAACGAUUACCAACACAUGUAUAGUUGGAACCAUAACGAUCCUUACAUUCUUGGCUUGUUUUACAAACAAUAUAAUAUAAACGAUUUGCAUCUGAUUGUUUGCAUAUAUCUGUAAUCACACAAAUAAUACAUUAACAUAAAACCAAUAUAUAGAGAAUGUAAGGCAAUGAAAAUUAAAAGGAAUAAAACGUCGAGAUUUAAAAUAAAAUAUAAUUUCUAACCUGGUGUCAUGAUAAAAACCAAAAAGAAAGCAAAUUUAACAAGAGACAUCGGCACACUCAAGUAACUAUCUAUAGUUGAUCAAAUCUCUAAUGUUGAAU
rnacentral:lncRNA from 1 species